GAUGAGGAGACUGUACUCAUGCUGCCCCACCCGAGAAGAACAGCCACAACUUACGCACUGAUCUGACCAACUUGUGUUGGCCAGGAAACUCAGAACUGCUCAUAACUACAGCAGACCAUGAAGAACCCUGGCUCACAAGCCCUCUUUCCUUUACAUCUUCCCUGGAAAGCCAGCCUGGCAGAUGGGAAUCCACUCCUGAAAGUAGUCAUAUUUUCAUGCCUCUUGACCUUUGGACAUGGGAAGUUGGAGCAACCUGAAAUAUCAAUAUCCAGAGCCAGAGAUGAGACUGCUGAAAUAUCCUGUAAGGUUUUUGUUGAAAGCUUUCAAAGUGUAGCCAUACACUGGUACCGGCAGAAACCAAACCAAGGUUUAGAGUUUCUAUUAUAUGUCCUCGCAACUCCUACCGAGACUUUCUUAAAUAAGAAGUACAAAAAAAUGAAGGCAAGUAAAAAUUCUAGUGCUUCUACAUCGAUAUUGACAAUAUAUUCCUUGGAGGAAGAAGACGAAGCUAUCUACUACUGUUCCUACGGUGAUAGCUCGGGCUGGAGCAAAGUAUUUGCAGAAGGAACUAAACUCAUAGUAAUUCCUGCUGACAAAAGCUUUAAUGCAGACAUUUCCCCCAAGCCCACCAUUUUUCUUCCUUCUUCUGCUGAAACAAAUCUCCACAAGACUGGGACAUACCUUUGCCUCCUUGAAAAGUUCUUCCCCGAUGUCAUAAGGGUGUACUGGAAAGAAAAGGACAGCAAUGCGGUCCUGGACUCCCAGGAAGGGGAGACGCUGAAGACUAACGACACAUACAUGAAGUUUAGCUGGCUUACUGUCCCUGAAGGGUCAAUGGGUAAAGAGCACAGAUGUAUUGUCAAACACGAGAACAACAAAGGAGGAGCAGACCAAGAGAUUUUCUUUCCUUCAAUAAAGAAAGUUGCUGUGAGUACCCAACCUACAACUUGCUGGCAAGAUAAAGAUGAUGUGCUGCAGCUCCAGUUCACGGGCACCUCUGCCUACUAUACUUACCUGCUCCUGCUCCUCAAGAGCGUGCUCUACUUGGCCAUCAUCAGCUUCUUUCUGCUUAGAAGAACAGCUGCCUGUGGCAAUAAGAAGAGAUCCUAAGGAAAUAAACGGUGGACCAGCAAGUCCGUUGAUUUUUAUCGUCAUAAAGGUGCCUUAUGGGGGUCCAGCUGCCUUCUCUUGCUGGCUUUGACUUCUGUAAAGUCACAUGCACAGCAUUCUGUAUUGUGCAAACAUUUUUCUCACAUUUGUAAGCGAUUUCAGCAACUUCUCUCUAACUGAGCUCACCUCCUUCCUGAUUCCAUCCUCUCCAGCAGUCCCCUCCCCCAGAAGCCCAAAGUAGCAAAGCUCUGGUACACAUAGGCUGCAGGUUUUACCCACGGCAUUUGUUGCUCUUGAAGCAGCCAACUCUCUGAAAGCCUCCGCUCUAGACAACCUGAAGAGCCUUCUUUAUUGUUGGAUUCUGUGCCUUGUAUUUCAUAUUAGAGACAAUAAAUAUUUUUUAAAAAUCA